ensembl:snoRNA SNORD24 Small nucleolar RNA SNORD24
UGCAGAUGAUGUAAAGAAUAUUUGCUAUCUAAUCAACAAUGCUGACAACCCACCAAGAUCGCUGAUGCA